rnacentral:rRNA from 1 species
AUUGAACGCUGGCGGCAGGCCUAACACAUGCAAGUCGAACGGUAACACGAAGCGACUUGCUGCUUCCCGGAGGAGAGGGGGGGGCGUGAGAGGUGUCCGUGGGACUGUCCGAUGUAGGGGGGGAACAACUGGAAACGGUAACGAAAACCGCACAACGGCCCAAGGCCAAAGAGCAGGACCUUAGCGCACCUUGCCAGCGGGUAUGAGCCGAUGUCGGAUUAGCUAGUUGGUGGGGUAAAGGCUCACCGAGGCGACGAUCCGUAGCUGGUCUGAGAGGAUGAUCAGCCACACUGGAACUGAGACACGGUCCAGACUCCUACGGGAGGCAGCAGUGGGGAAUAUUGGACAAUGGGCGCAAGCCUGAUGCAGCCAUGCCGCGUGUAUGAAGAAGGCCUUCGGGUUGUAAAGCCCUUUUAUCGGGGAAGAAGAGCGGCAAGUUAAUACCUCUCUGCAUUGACGUUACCCACAGAAGAAGCACCGGCUAACUUCGUG